AACGAACGCUGGCGGCAUGCCUAACACAUGCAAGUCGAACGAGACCUUCGGGUCUAGUGGCGCACGGGUGCGUAACGCGUGGGAAUCUGCCCCUCGGUUCGGAAUAACAGUGAGAAAUUGCUGCUAAUACCGGAUAAUGACUUCGGUCCAAAGAUUUAUUGCCGAGGGAUGAGCCCGCGUAGGAUUAGCUAGUUGGUGGGGUAAUGGCCUACCAAGGCGACGGAUCCUUAGCUGGUCUGAGAGGAUGAUCAGCCACACUGGGACUGAGACACGGCCCAGACUCCUACGGGAGGCAGCAGUGGGGAAUAUUGGACAAUGGGCGAAAGCCUGAUCCAGCAAUGCCGCGUGAGUGAUGAAGGCCUUAGGGUUGUAAAGCUCUUUUACCCGGGAUGAUAAUGACAGUACCGGGAGAAUAAGCUCCGGCUAACUCCGUG
rnacentral:rRNA from 1 species